UACGUAGGAGGCAAGCGUUGUCCGGAAUUACUGGGCGUAAAGAGCUCGUAGGUGGUUUGUCGCGUUGUUCGUGAAAACUCACAGCUCAACUGUGGGCGUGCGGGCGAUACGGGCAGACUUGAGUACUGCAGGGGAGACUGGAAUUCCUGGUGUAGCGGUGGAAUGCGCAGAUAUCAGGAGGAACACCGGUGGCGAAGGCGGGUCUCUGGGCAGUAACUGACGCUGAGGAGCGAAAGCGUGGGGGAGCGAACAGG
rnacentral:rRNA from 1 species